UGAGGCCUUAUCACGUUGAAACAUUGGUUCCCAUACGAUCACCGAAGUUAAACAGAUUCCAGCCUGUUCAGUACUCCGAUGGGUGACCGCUUGGAAAUACCAGGUGCUGCGAG